CCAGCAGCUGCGGUAAUUCCAGCUCCAAUAGCGUAUAUUAAAGUUGUUGCAGUUAAAAAGCUCGUAGUUGGAUUUCUGGUAGGAUGACUGUGCCCUCAGUAGAGCGUGCGCAGGCGUCUUGCCAUCCUUCUGUUAACCUUUGAGAGCUUCAUCGCUCUCUUUGGGGCUCAGAUAUUUUACCUUGAGAAAAUUAGAGUGUUUCAGGCAGGCUAGCGUCGGAAUACAUUAGCAUGGAAUAAUGGAAUAGGACUUGAACCUCUUCUGUUGGUCUAAGGGGUGCAAGUAAUGAUUAAUAGGGAUAGUUGGGGGCAUUAGUACUUAACUGUCAGAGGUGAAAUUCUCGGAUUUGUUAAAGACUAACCUAUGCGAAAGCAUUUGCCAAGGAUGUUUUCAUUAAUCAAGAACGAAAGU
rnacentral:rRNA from 1 species